rnacentral:rRNA from 1 species
GACGAACGCUGGCGGCGUGCUUAACACAUGCAAGUCGAACGGAAAGGCCUGCUUUCCCUUGUGGAUUGCGGGUACUCGAGUGGCGAACGGGUGAGUAACACGUGAGUGAUCUGCCCCCAACUUGGGUAUAAGCCUGGGAAACUGGGUCUAAUUCCCGAUAGGACUGCAGGGUGGUGCCUGUGGUGGAAAACGAUUUUCUAGUGGUUGGGGAUGAGCUCGCGGCCUAUCAGCUUGUUGGUGGGGUAAUGGCCUACCAAGGCGGCGACGGGUAGCCGGCCUGAGAGGGUGGACGGCCACAUUGGGACUGAGAUACGGCCCAGACUCCUACGGGAGGCAGCAGUGAGGAAUAUUGCACAAGGGGCGGAAGCCUGAUGCUGCGACGCCGCGUGGGGGAUGACGGCCUUCGGGUUGUAAACUCCUUUCGACCGCGAGGAAGCCACCUGGUUGGAAGGGUGGUGACGGUAGUGGUAGAAGAAGCACCGGCUAACUACGUG